rnacentral:rRNA from 1 species
UACAGAGGGGGCAAGCGUUGUCCGGAAUCAUUGGGCGUAAAGAGCGUGUAGGCGGUCCGGUAAGUCGGUUGUGAAAGUCCAGGGCUCAACCCUGGGAUGCCGAUCGAUACUGUCGGACUAGAGUUCGGAAGAGGCGAGUGGAAUUCCCGGUGUAGCGGUGAAAUGCGCAGAUAUCGGGAGGAACACCAAUGGCGAAGGCAGCUCGCUGGGACGUUACUGACGCUGAGACGCGAAAGCGUGGGGAGCAAACAGG